rnacentral:tRNA from 1 species
GGGGCCGUAGCUCAGCUGGGAGAGCACCUGCUUUGCAAGCAGGGGGUCGUCGGU